CAAGUGCGAGUGCCUAAACAUGCAAGUCGAGCGGGGAAAUCGGAGAGCUUGCUCAAGGAUUUUCCAGCGGCGGACGGGUGAGUAACACGUGAGCAAUCUACCUUACGCAGGGGGAUAACACCGGGAAACCGGUGCUAAUACCGCAUAACGUCCCUGGAUCGCAUGGAGCGGGGACCAAAGGAGGAAUCCGGCGAAAGAUGAGCUCGCGUCCGAUUAGCUGGUUGGAGGGGUAACGGCCCACCAAGGCGACGAUCGGUAGCCGAACUGAGAGGUUGAACGGCCACAUUGGGACUGAGACACGGCCCAGACUCCUACGGGAGGCAGCAGUGGGGAAUAUUGGGCAAUGGGGGAAACCCUGACCCAGCAACGCCGCGUGAAGGACGAAGGCUUUCGGGUUGUAAACUUCUUUGACCGGGGACGAACGCAAUGACGGUACCCGGAAAACAAGCCACGGCUAACUACGUGCCAGCAGCCGCGGUAAUACGUAGGUGGCGAGCGUUGUCCGGAAUUACUGGGUGUAAAGGGCGUGCAGACGGGUCGGCAAGUCAGGUGUGAAAUACUCGGGCUCAACCCGGGGGGGUCAUCUGAAACGGCCGAUCUUGAGUGCUGGAGAGGAUAGUGGAAUUCCCAGUGUAGCGGUAAAAUGCGUAGAGAUUGGGAGGAACACCAGUGGCGAAGGCGGCUAUCUAGGACAGCAACUGACGCUGAGGCGCGAAAGCGUGGGGAGCGAACAGGAUUAGAUACCCUGGUAGUCCACGCCGUAAACGAUGGAUACUAGGUGUAGGGGGUAUCGACUCCUCCUGUGCCGGGAGUUCACACAAUAAGUAUCCCACCUGGGGAGUACGGCCGCAAGGUUG
rnacentral:rRNA from 1 species